rnacentral:lncRNA from 1 species
AUCUCUGCUGCUUGUCUGGAGCCUUUCUUUUGGUCCCUGUGACCUCCUGGCAAUGUCGCCUUAGGCAGUGAUGCUGAGCCCAUGAUCCCAUGAUGAUGCUCUCGCCUUCACCACGGGCCAGGUGACCUCAUCAACACUGCUGUCCCAAGGACAGACUGCCAGAAGAUGCUGCAGGCACUGGAGGAUGCAUCCCUAGAGGAGCAGGAGCCCUCCAGGUCCAUGCUCAGGGCUCCAGGCUGCAGGGAGGCAACCUGGCCCUAAGUCUCCCAGGCACCGUCCCAGCAAAGCACACAGACAUCAUGGAUGGGAUGCAAUGGAGAAGUUGAGCAGAACUAGAGGGACACCCAGCUGUGCUACUUUCUAGG